rnacentral:rRNA from 1 species
GAUGAACGCUAGCGGCAGGCUUAAUACAUGCAAGUCGAGGGGUAGCAAGAUUGUAGCAAUACAAUUGUUGACGACCGGCAAACGGGUGCGGAACACGUACACAACCUUCCUACAAGUGGGGAAUAGCCCAGAGAAACUUGGAUUAAUACCCCGUAACAUAGCGAUGUGGCAUCACAUUGCUAUUAUAGCUUCGGCGCUUGUUGAUGGGUGUGCGGCUGAUUAGAUAGUUGGCGGGGUAACGGCCCACCAAGUCUACGAUCAGUAGCUGAUGUGAGAGCAUGAUCAGCCACACGGGCACUGAGACACGGGCCCGACUGCUACGGGAGGCAGCAGUAAGGAAUAUUGGACAAUGGACGCAAGUCUGAUCCAGCCAUGCCGCGUGAAGGAUUAAGGUCCUCUGGAUUGUAAACUUCUUUUAUAAGGGACGAAAAAAGGUCUUUCUAGAUCGUCUGACGGUACCUUAUGAAUAAGCACCGGCUAACUCCGUGCCAGCCGCCGCCGUAAUAC